CCGAGUGAGGGGGCCCCGCGCCCCCGACCUCCCAACCCUUUGUUUCAACCAACUCUGUUGCCUCGGGGGGCGACCCGGCCGUCCGACGUCGGACGCCCCCCAGAGGAUCAAUCAAACAACCUGCAUCUUUGCGUCGGAGUAUUGAAAGCAAAUCAAUCA
rnacentral:misc_RNA from 1 species